CAAGAUGGCCAAGUGGUCUAAGACGCUGCGUUCAGGUCGCAGCCUCCGUUGUAGGCGUGGGUUCAAAUCCCACUCCUG
rfam:Tupaia chinensis contig168694, whole genome shotgun sequence.